AAGACCACUCAAGCGAUUUUGCUUGGUAUUGGAAGAAGAGUGCCUCUGGCCCUCCCUUCCGAAAUCCAAUGGCGGAAAGUCUCACGUGCCCCGGCGUAGUAAGUUUAUCUUUCGCUUGGACCCUGAGGCGUUCUCGCCCUCAAAUCCCCAAUACUAUA
rnacentral:misc_RNA from 1 species